rnacentral:rRNA from 1 species
AUUGAACGCUGGCGGCAUGCCUUACACAUGCAAGUCGAACGGUAACAGGUCUUCGGAUGCUGACGAGUGGCGAACGGGUGAGUAAUACAUCGGAACGUGCCUAGUAGUGGGGGAUAACUACUCGAAAGAGUGGCUAAUACCGCAUGAGAUCUACGGAUGAAAGCAGGGGAUCGCAAGACCUUGUGCUACUAGAGCGGCCGAUGGCAGAUUAGGGAGUUGGUGGGAUAAAAGCUUACCAAGCCGACGAUCUGUAGCUGGUCUGAGAGGACGAUCGGCCACACUGGGACUGAGAAACGGCCCAGACUCCUACGGGAGGCAGCAGUGGGGAAUUUUGGACAAUGGGCGCAAGCCUGAUCCAGCAAUGCCGCGUGCAGGAUGAAGGCCUUCGGGUUGCAAACUGCUUUUGUACGGAACGAAAAGCCCCGGGUUAAUACCCUGGGGUCAUGACGGUACCGUAAGAAUAAGCACCGGCUAACUACGUGCCAGCCGCCGCAGUAA